rnacentral:rRNA from 1 species
AGAGUUUGAUCUUGGCUCAGGAUGAACGCUGGCGGCGUGCUUAACACAUGCAAGUCGAACGAAGCACUUUUGAUUGAUUCUUCGGAAGAGAGAGAUUGUGACUGAGUGGCGGACGGGUGAGUAACGCGUGGGUAACCUGCCUCAUACAGGGGGAUAACAGUUAGAAAUGACUGCUAAUACCGCAUAAGCACACGGUAUCGCAUGAUACAGUGUGAAAAACUCCGGUGGUAUGAGAUGGACCCGCGUCUGAUUAGCUAGUUGGUGAGGUAACGGCUCACCAAGGCGACGAUCAGUAGCCGACCUGAGAGGGUGACCGGCCACAUUGGGACUGAGACACGGCCCAAACUCCUACGGGAGGCAGCAGUGGGGGAUAUUGCACAAUGGGGGAAACCCUGAUGCAGCAACGCCGCGUGAAGGAAGAAGGUCUUCGGAUUGUAAACUUCUGUUUUUAGUGAAGAAACAAAUGACGGUAGCUAAAGAGGAAGCCACGGCUAACUACGUGCCAGCAGCCGCGGUAAUACGUAGGUGGCAAGCGUUGUCCGGAUUUACUGGGUGUAAAGGGUGCGCAGGCGGGACUGCAAGUUGGAUGUGAAAAUCCGAGGCUCAACCUCGGAACUGCAUCCAAAACUGUGGUUCUUGAGUGGAGCAGAGGUAAGCGGAAUUCCGAGUGUAGCGGUGAAAUGCGUAGAUAUUCGGAGGAACACCAAUGGCGAAGGCGGCUUACUGGGCUCUAACUGACGCUGAGGCACGAAAGCAUGGGUAGCAAACAGGAUUAGAUACCCUGGUAGUCCAUGCCGUAAACGAUGA